CUACAUGCACACAGCAGCAGCAAUGAUGCUCACCCUGAAAAGAAUCACAGCCUAUCACUGUUAUUUCCUCCCUUGAAAAGGAAUACAAAAAUCAUGCUGCUUACCCCAGCUCUGUUUGCUGACCUGAUAACUUAUUCUACAACUGGUAAGAUUUGAAGCACCUUUCCUGCAAAACCAGCCUCCAGCUCACAUGAAGCAAAUCUCUGGACAGAAACAGCUCAGGUUCCAUGAGGAAUUAUGAGGGAGACAGAAAGGGACUGGAUUGUAUGCUGGAGCCUGGGAGCCUGGCUUGGGGAAACUGGAGCAGAUCCAUGUGUGUAGAAGGUCCAUGCCAAUGAUCAUCCUGAGCCUGGUCUUGCCCAGAGCCUGCAUGGCUGCUCCACAUCCCAACAAAGGAUGGCUACAGUCAACGUAGCUAGAAAGGCACAACUUUCAGCAGUGUGUUCUCCCUCCUGCUGCCUGCUCCAAGCGGCUGUGAAUCCCCAAUGGAGUUCACCUUCCCCCUCGAACACGCAGGAAGCAGAACACAGAGGCAGGAUCAAACAACAAAGUCUUUACUCUCAGCAAAGCCACCCUGACUGAAAACCAUGACCAAAGAUGUACAAGAAUAUUCUCUCUGGCCCAGUCCUAUGUGUUCCAACAAGAUCAAACACCCUGACACUGAGUGUUCUCAACUCUGCAGAAGCCACAUCAACAACUAUUAAAGGUCUAUUCAGAGCCUAUAAACAUUUUGUGCAGCAAGUAUAUCAAGUUAUGUGUAAAUACUCACAUAUUUGAUACGUUUCCUUUGGGGCCUUUUGAUGUGUAUCCCAAAUAUUACUCUGCUGAAUGUACCACUUCAUUAUUGUCCACAAAGUCAAGAGAACACAUUAUCAGUAAACAGAUAAUGGCUUUUACUUGAGACUUAAGAUGAUGAAGACACUAAGCAGUGCAUGUGGGUAGUAACAGAACCUGGUAGAUGGGUGAUAAGAUCCUGUCUUCCUUUUGUUGUUCUGUCUUCAUCUGAGACAACAUUGGGGAGGUUGGAAGAUGUGAAAAUUGCCUGUGGAUUGCGUGUGGCGACAUGCAUUGCACCAGAGUCCUGAGUUAAGUAAUAAAG